AUAAGCAUCUUAGGGAAUGACAUACCGUCGACAAUAUCAAUACUUUGAACGAGCUGUCAUUUUGGAUUUCCCCUUAUUUGCGCUAUUGUUUUGGAAAUCAUCUUCUAGAUAUGGAUGUUCAAAACGCGUUGAAUACUCCCCAAUUGCGUGUUAAAAUCGUCACUCUUGUUCACAUCACCUUUAUUGCUGUUGCUCUUCAAAGUUAUUGGUUACCGUCCUCAUAUUUAUUUUAUAAUCAGAUUUACAUUUUAUCACUUUUUUGGGCAAUCCAGUGCAAUGAAUCGAUUGAUGCAGUUCAUUUAGCGUGCCUUAUCAAUGCCAUGAGCUUCAUAUUUGAUUUGAUUGGUAUAAUUGCAUAUUUUCCAGAUAAAGGUGGAAUAUUUUCGGUAGUGUUCGCUAUGAUAAACUUGGCACUUCGACCAUUUACACUAUUAGUGCUUCAUAGAGAACUAAUUGAUCGUGGUGGGAGUUUAACUCUCAUAGCUCAAAGAUCUGGCGAUAGUCAAGCAAAUUAUGAGGAUAUAGAUCGCCCACACCAAUCAUUUUCACCAAAUGUUUGAAAAUCGACUUAGCAAGCACGAGCCAAAACGGUUCAACAAAUAGAACAUCAAGUGUAUCCCAAUCUAUUCACUACUUCAGACCGCUGACGGAGUGGCGGAGAGAAGCUGUGUUGGGACUGGUACUGACAUUAGUUUGCGAGAAACCUGGUCGCAGCAAACCAGAGGGAUGACGUCAGAGUGCAUGU